AUUGAACGCUGGCAGCAGGCCUAACACAUGCAAGUCGAGCGGAUGAAGGGAGCUUGCUCCUGGAUUCAGCGGCGGACGGGUGAGUAAUGCCUAGGAAUCUGCCUGGUAGUGGGGGAUAACGUCCGGAAACGGGCGCUAAUACCGCAUACGUCCUGAGGGAGAAAGUGGGGGAUCUUCGGACCUCACGCUAUCAGAUGAGCCUAGGUCGGAUUAGCUAGUUGGUGGGGUAAAGGCCUACCAAGGCGACGAUCCGUAACUGGUCUGAGAGGAUGAUCAGUCACACUGGAACUGAGACACGGUCCAGACUCCUACGGGAGGCAGCAGUGGGGAAUAUUGGACAAUGGGCGAAAGCCUGAUCCAGCCAUGCCGCGUGUGUGAAGAAGGUCUUCGGAUUGUAAAGCGCUUUAAGUUGGGAGGAAGGGCAGUAAGUUAAUACCUUGCUGUUUUGACGUUACCAACAGAAUAAGCACCGGCUAACUUCGUG
rnacentral:rRNA from 1 species